AUGCUUAUUCUUGAUGGUUGUUCCAGCUUGGAGCAAGUUGCCCUGCAAGGAGCUCCUCCACUGCUUGAAAGUUUUAGCUUCGAUGGUUAUGGCCCAGCAGAGAAUUGGACACAUUCCAUACACCUGCCACAAAAGGAAUUGCGCCUCAAGUCUCCUUUAGCUCCUGUUCAAAUAGUCAAGGUGACAAAGAUCUCCCUACAUGGUUGCGGUCGAUUGCAUAACAUAUACCUGCAUGCACUACCGAAUCUGGAGGAACUGGACCUCUCUGGUACAGCUAUUAAAAUAAUUGACCUCCAUGCAAUGUAUGUCCCGAAACUCAAGAAGCUAUUCCUACUGGGCUGUGAGCAGCUCCGUAGCCUAAUCUGGAAAGGAUCACCUAGACUGGAAGUUCUACAUGUGGAUACUCAAGGGACGAAAAGAUCAGUGGUCUGCUAUGGAGAACAGGGAUCCUUUGGCUUUCAGGCACAUAUUGUUUUUACGGAUGGAAGGUUCAUUUGGUCAUCCUCAGAUGGGCUCAAUAGCCGAUCACAAAAUGCUGUCUCCAAGGUGUACCUCCUUAUCUCUUGUACGAGCAGUAGCCAAGCCAACAUCACCAAAAGUAUCAAGGAGAUUGGAUCUAGCCGACAGGGUUUGGUUCCAACAAGGCCGCUAUUACCGUAUAAUGAUAUUGCCAUGGCUAAGGAUGUUACAUGCUCGCUCUUGGUGUGGAACUGUCAACAGCUCCAAACUUUGGACGUGCAUAUCGAGAUUGGUAAAGGAAGCUAUAAUUUAGAGAGUAUGCAAGAUGAAGGGAAUUUCAGAAGUUUCGCAGCUUUUGUUGUUGAAUCAUUGCAUGUGCAUGACAAUUGCUCCAUCACUGCUAUCCGCCCAUUCUGGGAGAGACUAAAAUGGUGUCAUGUUGAGAGUUGCCCCAAGCUACACUCUGUGUUUUCACGUCGGAAUGGAACAUACAGCUUUCCGUGUAUAGAGAUAUUUUCAGCUUCUGAUCUCCUGGUGGCCUAUUGCAUUUGGGGAGGCAUCAAGAGAACUUGGAAUGACCUUUACCCCAGACACCAGAGUCUCUUACAGCUGCAGCACAUAUACCUGUACAAUUGCCCAAGGCUGGUGUUCGUCCUCCUCAUUUCCUUCACCUUGCCCAACUUGGAGACCCUCCAGAUCGCAUACUGCAGUAACCUCCGGCAUGUUUUCCCAUGGGACCACAAGUACACUGAGGAAAUAGCAUCUGGUUUCACAUUCAACAACCUGAAGCACAUCAAGCUACACCAUCUUCACAAGCUGGAGCAGAUAUGUGAGGUCAAAUUGACUGCACCUGCGUUGCAGUCAGUCGGCAUCAGGGACUGCUGGGGUCUCAGGCGUCUCCCGGCCGUAGCACAUCAAUUUCCUAAGCCGGUGGUGGACUGCGAGAAGGACUUGUGGGACAAGCUCAAAUGGGAUGGCUUGAGGGCUGGGCAUCACAUAUCUACCAUAUAA
rnacentral:rRNA from 1 species